GACGAACGCUGGCGGCGUGCUUAACACAUGCAAGUGGUGCGACGAACCAGGGCUUGCCCUGGGGCAAAGCCGCGAACGGGUGAGUAACACGUGAGUAACCUGCCCCGAUGACCGGGACAACCCGAGGAAACUCGGGCUAAUACCGGAUGUGGCGCACAGGCGUAAGCCUGUUCGCUAAAGGAAGCUUCGGCCUCCGCAUU
rnacentral:rRNA from 1 species